rnacentral:rRNA from 1 species
GACGAACGCUGGCGGCGUGCUUAACACAUGCAAGUCGAACGAUGAAGACCAGCUUGCUGGUUGGAUUAGUGGCGAACGGGUGAGUAACACGUGAGUAACCUGCCCUUCACUCUGGGAUAACUCCGGGAAACCGGGGCUAAUACUGGGUAUGACCAAUCUCCGCAUGGAGUGUUGGUGGAAAGCUUUAGUGGUGAAGGAUGGACUCGCGGCCUAUCAGCUUGUUGGUGAGGUAAUGGCUCACCAAGGCGACGACGGGUAGCCGGCCUGAGAGGGCGACCGGCCACACUGGGACUGAGACACGGCCCAGACUCCUGCGGGAGGCAGCAGUGGGGAAUAUUGCACAAUGGGCGAAAGCCUGAUGCAGCGACGCCGCGUGAGGGAUGAAGGCCUUCGGGUUGUAAACCUCUUUCAUCAGGGAAGAAGCGAAAGUGACGGUACCUGAAAAAGAAGCACCGGCUAACUACGUGCCAGCAGCCGCGGUAAUACGUAGGGUGCGAGCGUUGUCCGGAAUUAUUGGGCGUAAAGAGCUUGUAGGCGGUUUGUCGCGUCUGCCGUGAAAAUUCGGGGCUUAACCCCGGACGUGCGG